rnacentral:rRNA from 1 species
UACGAAGGGGGCUAGCGUUGCUCGGAAUGACUGGGCGUAAAGGGCGCGUAGGCGGUUUGUACAGUCAGAUGUGAAAUUCCUGGGCUCAACCUGGGGGCUGCAUUUGAUACGUAUGGACUGGAGUGAGGAAGAGGGUCGUGGAAUUCCCAGUGUAGAGGUGAAAUUCGUAGAUAUUGGGAAGAACACCGGUGGCGAAGGCGGCGACCUGGUCCUUGACUGACGCUGAGGCGCGAAAGCGUGGGGAGCAAACAGG